AACAGGCUGUCCUCGGAUGCUCUGGGUCGUGGAACGAGGGGCUUGAAAAAGAAGCGUUCUUCUUUCUUGACAAAGCUGGAAGAGGGGGGUUUUUCGCGACGCGUUCCAUUUCGAUACGAUGCAACGUUAAAGCUCAUCCCAACAGCUUUUUUAGGGCACUUUAAUGGCGUUGUGCCUGAAAAGGCCAUCCUCAGAGAAUUUUCUGGGAGAGUUUGGCUCGUGGAGGUAGGCUUAAUUGGAAAGGAUGUGUACUUUCUGAACGGUUGGCAGCGAUUUCGGACAGAUAAUUCCCUAGAGGAGGGGGUCUUUUUGGUUUUCCGUUAUGAUGGCAGUCAUAUAUUUGAUUUUAAAUUGUUUGGGAGAAAUCAAUGUGAAAAGAUAGAGACUGACAACGAUCAACUUCAAGCUCAGAUGCAAGAAACAGAGCCCUUUCAACAGUUAGUGACACCUAGUUCUAUCACUCCAUGGGUUUGUCCUCAGCCAGGAAAGGAAGUUGACCAAGAAGUGGGAAAAAAAUCCCCUUUCACCUUACCCAGAAGAAAAAGGAAAGCAGCUAAAUUGCCUGUAACAACCAUAUAUAGGCCACGCACUCGACAGUCUACGAAAUGGUUUACCCGAUUCAAUGCUGAUGAUACAGGCAUCAUUGACUUGUGUUCCCUGAGCAAAGAAUCAGAAACAAGUGAUCCAACAAACCAGGAUUUUAGAAGUACCAAUGAUUUUAAGUGUGAUCAAGUUUCUAGCCACCAAGUUCCCAUUUCUCCUGGAGGUAUUCUUCUUGCUGACUGCAACUCCCCUGUUUCCUGUGGUGCACCCUGUACAGAACUCACUCAAGGAUCAGAAGACAAUAUGAUUCCUGAAGAUUUUGAUAACUUUGUCGAUUCUCUGGAUGAUAUGCUGGCUCAGCCUCUACCUGAAGCACUAUUAUCCCCAUCUGCAACUGAUAAUUAUCAAGCUUCUGAAGAUGAAAUUGCUGAGGCUCGAAUAAAACUUUCUUCCUUGCUUGCUAUGGAUUUCCAUCUUUUGGUUUCCUCCAAAGACCUUAAAGAACUUGCAUUGCUGUCAUCCAAGCUUCAGAAGGAUCCUAGCCUUGAUGCUGAUCAACUUUCUAAACUAAAGCUCAUUGAAGAAAUUCCAGUUACUGGUAAGGUUUUUUUGGAGGCCAUGCAAAUCAAAGAGGAAGUUAACAAAUUCUUUGCAGACCUGACUUCCAGCAUGGACAAGGCUACUUCACUAAGGAAUGAAUACAAUGCAUCAAAGGAGGAUAUUGCCAUGCUACAGGUUGAUAUAAAUUCCAGCUUAUCAACCUUAGAAGAAAUUGAUGAUCAAAUUGCUAAACUUCAAUCCAGACGAGCUGAGCUGAGUACUGCCCUCAAGAUUAAAAGAAGGAAGUAGCUAAGUUGAUCUCUACUCAGAGAAUGGUAGCUGAUUCUCUUCCCAAAGUUGUGCAUGAGGUUCAGCUUGCAAACUCUAAAAAGCUAGAAUGGGAGCAGAAGAAGAAAAAUGCUUUGAAGCGAGAGGCCGAAAUCCUUGCGAAAUUUGCUCCUCUAAGAGGGUUAUCUUUGAAGAAUGUUGGAAUCUUGGACCAAUUUGUUUUAUGAUGUAGUUUAUUCUCCCCCGGUAGUAGACUCUGUUCUUGUAGUAGGUGAUAUGAUAUUCUUCUGAAUUGGAGUAGAUGCGCUGGAACCUCUGAUUAUCCUCCUCCAACAACGGGUUUUAUUGAGCCGAGUUGGUCUCAGGUGAAGCUUAAGUUUCUAUGGAUUUAAGUAAGCAUGCAGAUUGAUUGCGGGGAUCCAAUAAUGGUUGUUUUAUUUGUUUAGUGAAUCCCAGAAACUAUAUAUGCUCACAAUCUGACAGCACGUGUUAAUAUAAGAAUAUUUUUAUAUUACUGCAAUUUAUUAAUUUUACAAUUUCUAAAGAAAAAAAAUUCAAUCACAACAUUUUCCUAAAAUUAUUUUCAAAUAUGAAAUGAAAUUUAUUUUAUUUUUUCAUUUCUGUAUAAAAGUUUUGACUUUAUAGAGCUGGGUAUCUAAUGCCAUUUUAAAUUUUCAUCUUUUUUAAGAAAAAAGAAAUCUGUUUUCUUCUUUGAGCCUUUUGUGGUCAAGGAGGGCUGGGAAAAUGAUGAAAUCUGUACAUGCUGUAUGGACUUGUCUAUGUCCAUAGAAAUAUAUAGUCACGCCUCUAUAUGAUUUUGGUGGACCUAUUUUUGUGGGCUUCUUUGACGGAUCUACACAUUAAAAUGUCAUAUUUUGUU